AACACUGGAGAAUCUGCAUGGCUUAAUACAAAGGCUCUAGCAAUGAUAGUUUGGCCGAUCGAUCUUCAACAUGGAAAACUUUUAGUAGAGUGGAGACUGUAGCCAGGCAUCUCAGCCUGGUUUCAUAUGGUAGUUUGGCUAACCAUCAUCUUCAUUCUCAAUCUUAAAUGGACGGUCCUGUUCUUGUGAAGAAUCCCAUCGUCUGUCGUAAUCCAUCCCACCCACCCAAACUGAGGGACUUUGUCAAGACAUAUGGUUGAGGUUCCUAUGAAUUUUCAGGGCUUAGAGAGCAUCAGUCAGAUAGGGGCCUAGGCCCUAAAGCUAUGCCCAUCCUAUGACUUGUGAUGCUGAAAGCUUGACAACAGAGGGAAAUGGUCUGAGGUUGUGCCAAGAGCCAGGAGACCGUGACUACAGCAGUCCAGCACCACAUUCAUUGCCUGUUUACAAGAUCAUUGGGCAUGGAUGCCACGGAGGCUGUUGAAGAGGGAACAAGCACCACUACAGUAGAAAAUCUGUCACCAUGGCUGUCUCUGAGAGAACCAGUCCCACUACAGUAGAAAUGCUUGUUUCAGGGUUUCGAUCAGCGGGUGUGGAUGUCAACGAGGCUGUCCAAGGGAGAACAGUAGCAGAAGACGGAACAGUUUAAUUUGGCGUGGCUAAGUAUCCAUAGACCAACUGUAAAGCAAAG